rnacentral:lncRNA from 1 species
AAGGUACUUGGCAGAUAGUUAAGUAGGUAAAAACAAAACUGUUCGCUCUACACCACAGCUGCGGUUUUGACAUUGACUUCAAAUGGCGAAAACUUGCCUUUAAAACCAUCUUAGAAUAUAAGUUCAGAUAAAUUAGGGCCCUUGGGAUACAUUAGUAUCGUCAGUUACAUUCUCCUGGGAAGUUGGUGAUCUCUUUCUAGCGCUAGCAUGUGGCCGCUCAGGAUUGAGGGAAUUGAUAACUUGUUGAAAUGGUAAUGAAAAAGCGUAGGACGUUGCCCAGAUUCCUGGGCUGGGAAUAAUGCCUCAGAGACACAGGCCAAGAGUUCCCCUCUCUGUCACCACCCUCGUUUUCUUUCCAGGCUCUGACACUGUUCCCAGAUCCGCCGGCGCGCGGAGAGGGCUGGAAGGGCUGGAGUCGAUUUGACCUGGGAUAUGGCUCCCAUGGCUUAACGGCCCUUGGGUGCUGCAGGGGAGAUAGGUGGCCAGUCCGCAGCCUAGAUGUGGGAUCGCUUUGCUAGCAGCGGGGGCGGCCUCCGGAACGGCAGGGGGCGCCCUCCGCCGCGCGGCCUCCCCCAGAGGGGCGGGGCCGCCCCCGGCCGUUGGCGCUGGGCGCACGGAGGGCUGGGCCUGAGAGGCGGAGCGCCUACCGGCGGUCUGUCACGCUGUUUCCGCGCCGGGCGGCCGCCGUCACGCCCUCUAACGGCAAAGAUCCUUGCUGGAGCGCUGUGCGUCUCCUCGGACCCGAGCCCGCUCUCCUGGCCGGUCAGUCGGUCCGGAGGAGAUGCCGAGGUUACAGGAGUGGGGCUUCCUGUGGGUGUAGCUCCCCAGCUGCCCCGGUUACGCGGUUCGGACUCGCGGGCAGCGCUGUGGCCGUCGCCUCGGGUGUCGAGAGCCGGUUGCCAGACAACGCGCUGACGCUUUCUGAAGAGUCCGCCGCUGGAGUGUCUGGAGACUGCCGCGCCUCGGGCCUCCGGGCGCCUGCUCUCCGCCACUGGAGGUUAAUGUUUGAUGUUUGAGCGCUGUGUGCCCGGGC